GCCACUUCCCACAUGUGCUCCCCUGGUCCUCUCAUUGGUGUUCGGGAGCAGGAGGUUGGUUCCUCCCAGUGAGCUGGGUGCUAUAACAGAUUAGACUUCUGUGCAAGAAAAUAAACCCUGCACAUUGGAUGUACUGCUUUAGACUCAAAGACCUCUUGGGACCUGACGUUGUAAGAUUCUGAAGGAAAGAAGACAUGAGCCAAGCAUUUUGCAUUCAGUGAAACUGACUUUCAAGUGAAAAGAGUGCCAGGAGUCUUCAGCUCUUUCUGAAGAAUCUACUAGAGAUUGAGCUUCAGAAUUCAAUAAAUCUGAAGACUACGCUUUAAAAAAAAUCGUCAGAGGAAAGGAAUUUGUAGAAAUAAAACUAGAAACAUCCAGAAUCUUGAUGGUGUGCCAAACCAGAUGUCAACUGGAGCUCGACCAAAA